CAGAGUUCAUGCCCUAACGGGUAGACCUCCCACCCUUGUGUAUUUAUACUUUGUUGCUUUGGCGAAUAGUGCGUCUGACGCACCUCAGCCCUCGGGCUGUGAGAUUCUCUUGUUCGCCAGAGGAUACCAAACUCGUAUUUAUUAGUGUCGUCUGAGUACUAUAUUAAUAGUUA
rnacentral:misc_RNA from 1 species